CCGGGAGCUGCUGCCUCGCCUGGGAGGGGAGAGGAUCCGCGCCAGCGAUCCUCCGGGAGGCUGCGACAAAGGGAGCUUGCAGCUUGACACACGGAAUGCAAAUGUAGCCUGCCGGCGGUGAAUGGGCUGAAUUGUGAUUAAGAAGAAGAAGAGCUCCUUUCUUUGUUCUCCCCUCAGGGGAUGUUUACUGGGAGAGACACAGCGGAUCAGAUAUGAAAGGCAUUCAGGUCAGCAUUGAUGUGAGCGAAAGUGAAAUCAUACCUAAGGCAUUCAAAAGACCGCCGUGUCAGGGGUUCAGCUAACGGUGCAUCUACUGUGUGUGUCUUCCCUGGUAGGCACAAAAAAAAAUAAUAAUAAAAAAAUCCCUCCACAAACAGGCAUUUUUAAAAAAUUACAACAAAAAUUAUAGAGAGGGGAGGGAAGAAAAACAACAA